AUACCGCUGAAGAGUCUUAAAAUAGGACAAAACGGCCGUCCAGUGU
rnacentral:hammerhead_ribozyme from 1 species